rnacentral:rRNA from 1 species
GGAUUAAUUUAUUGGUCGUGCUAUUGUACGUACUGGUAUUAUUGAUUCCUACCUUCUGACGAACCAUGAUGUCAUUAAUUUGGUGUCAUGGGGAAUCAGGACUGUUACUUUGAAAAAAUUAGAGUGUUUAAAGCAGGCAUUUUGCUUGAAUACAUUAGCAUGGAAUAAUAAAAUAGGACG